AAUAACCUCAAUAUAAACAUAACUCUAAAAACAUUUUUGUCCAAAUUAAAAUGCUCUCCUAGUUGCUAUUUGCCUAUAUCACUGCUCAAAAGUUAAACCGUACUUUCUCUCCUUCUCAUUUCCACCCCAAAAAUUCUCCAUUGUAACUUUAUCGAUGUUUGGUUGUGAUUUCCUUAAUCGUUCUUCACCUUUAUGGGAGAGACUAGAGAAACAAUUCGAAGAAUUCUAGAUCUGGAGGAAUCGGAGACUCUACAUGUUGUGGCGAUGGAGAUAGAUUCAGCCACUCAGCCCAUAUAUCCUCUUCUCUAUGAAAUUGCAAAUAACUGCUUUGCAAUUGCUACCCAAAAAAGUGGGUGCUGUGUGAUACAGUCAUGUGUAGAAUCUUCUGGUGGAGAACUCAGAGAUUGCAUAAUUCCUGAGAUAUUGACAAAUGCAGUGCAACUAUCAGAAGAUCAAUAUGGCAACUAUGUGGUGCAACAUCUCUUGGGACUGAAGUUACCAGAAGUUACAUAUAUUUUAAUUGAUAGGCUUCAAUGAAACUUUUUGACUCUCUCUUGCAAUAAGUACGCUAGUAAUGUUGUUGAGAAAAUUAUCCUCGAUUCAAGAGAAAAGCACUCCACGAGAAUUAUCACCGAGCUGCUCAGUAAUCCAAGUGGUUCAAUGCUACUAAUGGACCCUUAUGGUAACUUUGUCAUCCAGUCAUCACUGCAAAGAGCAAAGGUAAGUUUAGUUCACUAAAUUCCUUGGUCUAUGAGCCUGCUUAUAUCGUAUAAGAAACAAAAUGAGCCAUCUGGAGCUUCUAAUUCAGCUUGGACUGAAAUGACCUUCUAGGAGUUCUCUUUUCUCUGUAUGCCUGCAUGGUAAAAACAAUCUCAAACCAUAGGCGUGGCUAUUUUGACCUAUUUAGACUAAAUAUUGCAGAAGAUAAUAUGAAGGGAAAUUGCACAAUCAGUUACGACUAGUACCUGUACAUACCAUUGAAAAUAGAGAAGGUUGUUGUUAUUGGUGGUGGUUUAAUGGGCUCAUGUAUUUCCACAGCUCUUAUACUCAGUUCUAUACAAGUCAUUCUCAAAGAAAUUAACUUCGACUAUCUGCAAAAGUAACUCAAAUCAAUAGACGGUACAUUUCCCAUUUUCGGAAUGUCUUUUUCAUAUUACACAGAUAUAAUUGUAGAAAUUUACACUUUUUGGUGGCAAAGUGAAGCUUUUCUGUUAAUAACUUGGUGUGUUGCUGCCAUGGAUGUAAAGAGUAAAUAUCAUUAAUGAGUGAAUAUUAUCUGAGAACUAAUUUAUUGAUUUAGAAAUAUGGUUGCAUUUGAAAUGACUGAAAACAUCAGAUAGCUGUAUCUUACCUUAGGUUUACUUUUACACUUAAUUAGUUUCCAAAACUUUUAAGUUGAUAACAUUGGAACCUAUCAACAAUGUUGUUGAAAGAAGUCAGAUACAUUCCAAUCCAAGCAUAUGACAUAGCGGGUUUGUGUACGAGUAAUGUAGUUUCAGUGAUUGUUGGCCCUGAGCUGGCUUCAACCCUUGUUAUUGUUAUUUCAAAGGUGGUUAUGCAUCUAAUUUCUGUUUUUUUUUCUUAACAAAAAAUAGAGAAUCUUUUUUUGAUAACAGAGAAAUCUCUGUUGUUGCUGCUGCUAAUGAGGUUCAUUUGAGCAGCUCUUGUGUGUCAAAAAGUGAUGGGAAUGGAGACAAGUUAAACAUUGUUUCUUCAGCCAUGGCUCCAAGUUCGAGUUCUACUGGUUCCACAACUACAACGUGUUGGUGCUCGGGAUGACAAGGGGAAUCCUAUUAUAAGGGACUACUACAGUAGUCCACCUACUGCAAGUUUGUUUUCAACAUGGAUCAGGGACCACCUGUGUGGUCAGAGUGGCUAGUUUUUAACAGAGUCAAUGCUCGUGCUAGAAAAGGAUUGGUAUUAAGUCCUAUGCGACUUCUCCUAAGAAUGUGUAAACUACAAGGACAUGAAUGGUUUUGUCACAUGUAUGAAAAUGAACUUUUAGAAAGAUCAACGUAUGCCCCUAUGAUCGACUCGAGACGUACUUAUAGAAGCUCAGUCUUUGCCUCUAAAAUAUUGUUGCGCAUAAAUAAGAUGAGUCCUCUAGGAGUUACUACAAGCUAAAUCAAUCACACUGAUAACUCCAAGGCAAUAGGCAUUAGAGGCAGAACAGUGAGCUCUGCAGUUUAAAGUCGCUCCUGGUUUCGUCGUUGUCCCUAGUUCGUCGCUCCAAGAGAGGUAUAACUCUUUACCUUUAAUUUUUCCUUGUUUGUUUCAGACCAAGAGUGUUAUGCGUUGUUGUGACUGAAAUAGUGAGCUGCUAGUUUGUAUCAGCUUCUUAGUUGAUAUGAUUUAAUCUAUUUUCUUAAAGUUAAUUGAGUCUCCUUUUAGUUUGUUCAAGAUGGUCUGUAGUUCAUUCAAUCGCAAUUUUAAGUGUGCCUACUAUGUGUUCUGGGUUCUCGAAAUGGGGCUGUAAAAUCUGGUUGUUUACCUUCCUCUUCAAGUGUGGUUCAGUUCUCUUUUGAGCAUCUUUUAACAUACUCAUUGUAUAUCUCCGUCUGAUUGUUCUCAAAUGCUAUCUGAUGCUAUGAGACUUCAAGUUCUAAUGUUCAAUUUGAUCAAAAAUAGUUUGUCUAGGUCCUGAUUUUGUUUGAAUUUAUUUUAGUACAGUUUGUAUGGACUACAUAUUGUAAGCAAGUGAGAUAGUAUACUCAUAAACUAUUUUUUCGCAUUAAAGUAACUGAACUUUACAGACUAUAUAAGUUAUUUUUUAAAAGUUAGUUUUUGACU